UACGUAGGGGGCUAGCGUUGUCCGGAUUUAUUGGGCGUAAAGAGCGUGUAGGCGGCCAGGUAGGUCUGGUGUGAAAACUCGAGGCUUAACCUCGAGAUGUCAUCGGAAACCAUCUGGCUAGAGUCCGGAAGAGGAGAGUGGAAUUCCUGGUGUAGCGGUGAAAUGCGCAGAUAUCAGGAGGAACACCAAUGGCGAAGGCAGCUCGCUGGGACGUGACUGACGCUGAGACGCGAAAGCGUGGGGGAGCAAACAGG
rnacentral:rRNA from 1 species